rnacentral:rRNA from 1 species
CCUACGGGUGGCUGCAGUGAGGAAUAUUGGUCAAUGGCCGGAAGGCUGAACCAGCCAAGCCGCGUGAGGGAGGAAGGCGCAGAGCGUCGCAGACCUCUUUUGCCGGGGGACAAAAGGCCGGACUCGUCCGGUCCUGAGGGUACCCGGAGAAAAAGCAUCGGCUAACUCCGUGCCAGCAGCCGCGGUAAUACGGGGGAUGCAAGCGUUAUCCGGAUUUAUUGGGUUUAAAGGGUGCGUAGGCUGUGAGGUAAGUCAGCGGUGAAAUGCCCCCGCUCAACGGGGUGAAGUGCCAUUGAUACUGCCUUGCUGGAAUGCGGAUGCCGUGGGAGGAAUGUGUGGUGUAGCGGUGAAAUGCAUAGAUAUCACACAGAACACCGAUUGCGAAGGCAUCUCACGAAUCCGCGAUUGACGCUGAUGCACGAAAGCGUGGGUAUCAAACAGGAUUAGAUACCCCUGUAGUC